CGUGGAGUGAAAGGAAAUAAACUUAAAACAUCGAGCGAGGAGAUGAGCGACGGCUGACACCCGCCGAGGGACAUGUCUGAUAUCCAGGUGAUGGAAGGGAAGUGAUGGAAGUGGCAGGCAUGUGGACAGAAGUGUUCGAGGACUCGCAGAGACAGGAGAUGUCCGCUGGAGAAGAGGUGUUGCUGGGCAGCUCCACUCUGACCCUGGCUCCUCUGGUCGCCGACUCGCCGUCCAUCCGCCGCUCCCGACCCAUCCGUAUCGGCUCAAACAGGGUGAAAGGCAGCGAGUACUUCUCGUUAUCUGUUCCCUCCAUACCCAACCCCUUUCCAGAACUGUGCAGCCCCUCCAAGUCGCCGGUGCACAUCAGUUCGCUUCCACUGCAGCCAAGUGACAAACACCUGGUGAAGGUGUAUGGAGAGGACAGUCACAGCAGGCCGGUGUGGGUGUCCCAGCGAGCCACGGCCCGAGACGUGUGCCACCUGCUGGUCCAGACGGCCCACUGCAGCGAUGAGGAGAACUGGGCCCUCCUGGAGCACCAUCCUGGCCUGGGCCUGGAGAGAUGUCUGGAAGACCACGAGGUUGUGCUGGAUGUUCGGGCGACCUGGUCUCUGAAGGGGGAUACGAGAUUCAUCUUUCGCAAAAACUAUGCCAAGUACGAGUUCUUCAGGAAUCCAGUGCUUUUCUUCCCAGAAAGCAUGAUCUCCGACAGCGCUGAUGUCAGCAGAGGGAUGACAUCAUCAGAGCUCAUUGAGAACCUCCUGAGGUCCGGGACAUGUCCUGAGAUCCAGGGCUUCCUGCAUGUGAAAGAGCCCAGUCGAAAGGCCUGGAAGAAGGUCUACUUCUUCCUGCGACGCUCCGGACUCUACAGCUCCGCCAAAGGCUCGUCCAAGGAGCCUCGGCACCUGCAGUGCAUCGCUGAUCUGGAAGACCUGAACGUGUACAUGGUGGUGAACGGCCGCAAGGUCUACGGAUCACCUGCUGAAUUCACCUUCUGCAUCAAGCCUUCCAGAAAUCCCAUCCGUGUUCAGGACUUGAAGAUACUGUGUGCAGAGAAUGAACAGACACGCACGUGCUGGACAUCUGCUUUGAGACUGUUCAAGUAUGGAAAGCAGCUUCAGCGUAACUACCAGACGUCCAAGUCGGCUCUGCGAAGCCUGGAAAGCUCCAACAUCACAGACGGCAAAUCAAAGUCAGAAGCGAGUCUGGUGGCCAUGGACUUCUCGGGGAAAGCUGGAGGACGGGUCAUCCAGAACCCAAUGGAGGCCCAGAGUGCAGAGAUGGAGGAGGGACAGGCCUGGAGGAGGAGAGAGGCCCUGCGGUGCAGUCUGCCCAACCUGAACUCUGCUGCCAGACCUUCCUCCAUCCACAAGACUCAGUCGUGGUUUCAUGGUGGUGUGUCCAGAAAAGAAGCGCAGAGACUGAUAGAGAAGCAGGGGCUGGUAGAUGGGAUGUUCCUGAUCCGCGACAGCCAGCAGCACGAGCAGUGCUUCGUCCUGACGCUGUGCCAUCAGCUGAAGACCAAACACUACCUGGUGAUACCAUGUGAGAAAAGCGGGAGGAAAUACUUCACCAUCGACGACGGCGCAACUCUGUUUGUAGACCUCCUGCAGCUGGUGGAGUUUCACCAGAUCAACAAGGGCAUCCUGCCUGUUCGCCUCAAACACCCCUGCGUCUGUGUGGCACUAUGAACCCAUGUGACCUCCACCCAUGUGACCCAUGUGACCUCCACCCAUGUGACCCAUGUGACCUCCACUCAUGUGACCUCCACCCAUGUGUCCUCCACUCAUUUGUCCUCCAC